UCCAUCACCUCCUUGAUUAUCUUCCCUGUAUCUGUCACCUCCCCACUGGUUCUUUCCUCAGGUGUUAUUGACUCUGUCUCAUGACACUCACCUGGACUCCAUCACCUCCUUGAUUAUCUUCCCUGUAUCUGUCACCUCCCCACUGGUUCUUUCCUCAGGUGUUAUUGACUCUGUCUCAUGACACUCACCUGGACUCCAUCACCUCCUUGAUUAUCUUCCCUGUAUCUGUCACCUCCCCACUGGUUCUUUCCUCAGGUGUUAUUGACUCUGUCUCAUGACACUCACCUGGACUCCAUCACCUCCUUGAUUAUCUUCCCUGUAUCUGUCACCUCCCCACUGGUUCUUUCCUCAGGU